ensembl:lncRNA
AUGGAUGGUCCAAAUGUAAAUUGGAAGUUUUUAGAACUGCUGCAACAAGAGCAUCGUGAGCAGUUUGGUGGCACACAGCUAAUUGUGGUGGGGAGCUGUGGCCUCCACACCCUACAUAACGCCUGCAAACAUGGUUUCUCCAUUUGGAAGCUAGAGAAGGUUCUGAGGGCCUUGCACAUACUCUUCCACAAUGCGCCAGCUAGGAGGGAGGAUUUCACUGCUCUGACCAAAUGCACAAAAUUUCCACUUCCGUUCUGUGGACACAGGUGGCUCGAAAAUCUACCAGUCGUGGAGAGAGCUUUGGAAUUCUGGCCAUCAGUGACCAUGUACAUGGAUGCAGUCAGGAAAAAGAAGCUACCAAAUCCGGGAACCGCAUCGUAUGACACUCUUGAAGUUGCUGAAAAAGACCCUCUUAUUCUGGCGAAGCUACAUUUCUACAUGGCUAUCACAAGGACCUUCAGUCCUUUUCUUACCUUCUAUCAAACGGAUGUACCAGUGAUUCCGUUCCUUGCCAAAGACUUGGCUGAGCUGAUGAAGAGUAUGCUGAGGCGUUUUGUCAAGAAAGAGGUACUCAAGGAUAUCAGUUCACUGCAGCUGGUCAGGCUGGAUGUCAGUGACAAACAGAGCUGGGUCAACCUAAAGGAAGUAAACAUGGGAUUGGGUGCAGAAUCACUCCUUAAGGAACUACAGAAACAGAAAAAGAUAGGUGAACUCACAGCCCUGGAGUUUAGGAAAGACUGUGUCAAGGUGAUGUGUACCAUCACCCAGAAAGUACAGGAAAAGAGCCCAUUAAAGUAUCCUGUAGUGAGGCAGGUGGCCUGUUUGGACCCCAGCAUGAUGAUGUCUGACCCUGACUGGUGCAAGAGCAAUAUGACAAAACUGGUGCAGAGGUUUUUGCAGGCCCAACAGUUGUCAGGAGGUGUCUCUGCUGGUGAUGUUAUAAUCCAGCAAUUCAAUGAAUUUUUAUCUGUUGAAAAUGAGAGCUUAUUCUCAUACAAACCAACAGAAACCAGGCUAGACAUAUUCCUGCAUGGAGUUCUUGGGCAGCGCGAUGAGUUAUGGAGCUUUUGCAAGAAACUGCUUCUCCUGUCCCAUGGGCAGGCAACAGUGGAGAGAGGAUUCUCCAUUAAUAAAGAAGUGGAGACCUGCAAUAUGCAGGAGGAGACAAUGGUCAGUCAUUGA